UGCAUCGGCCGGGAAUCGAACCCGCGGCGAAUCGAACCCGCGUGGCAGGCGAGCAUUCUACCACUGAACCACCGAUGC